rnacentral:rRNA from 1 species
AGAUUGAACGCUGGCGGCAGGCCUAACACAUGCAAGUCGAGCGGUAGAGAGGUGCUUGCAUCUCUUGAGAGCGGCGGACGGGUGAGUAAUGCCUAGGAAUCUGCCUGGUAGUGGGGGAUAACGCUCGGAAACGGACGCUAAUACCGCAUACGUCCUACGGGAGAAAGCAGGGGACCUUCGGGCCUUGCGCUAUCAGAUGAGCCUAGGUCGGAUUAGCUAGUUGGUGAGGUAAUGGCUCGACCAAGGCGACGAUCCGUAACUGGUCUGAGAGGAUGAUCAGUCACACUGGAACUGAGACACGGUCCAGACCUCCGACGGGAGCAGCAGUGGGAAUAGUGGACAGUGGACAAGGGGGCUGACU